GAUCAUGGCUCAGGAUGAACGCUAGCGACAGGCCUAACACAUGCAAGUCGAGGGGCAGCGGGGAGGUAGCAAUACCUUUGCCGACGACCGGCGCACGGGUGGGUAACACGUAUGCAAUCCACCUGUAACAGGGGGAUAACCCGGAGAAAUCCGGACUAAUACCCCAUAAUAUGGGUUCUCCGCAUGGAGGGUUCAUUAAAGAGAGCAAUUUUGGUUACAGACGAGCAUGCGCUCCAUUAGCCAG
rnacentral:rRNA from 1 species